CCCGUCCCGGGCCGGGUCUGAGGAGUGCGCUCGAACCCCCCGACCCCACGUUUCCACCCGCUCUCAGCAGGAGGUUCAGAGGAGAGUCUGGAUUCACAGAGAACAAAAGCGGAAUUAGCGCCUCUUUUGUUUUUGUGGUCUCGUGUCUGUCUGGCGUGAGCUCCUUGGGCGAUCGGAAGACAUCGAUUCCUGCUGUUUUUGUUGGAAUUGUAGAAGAAACACCCUCCAAUGUUUCCAUUUAAGGAUAUUUUAAUGCAGAUUUUGAGCUAUAACAUAAAAAGCACUGGACUAAAAUUCCAAGAUGAAAUCAUGCACAUGAACUACAAUGAAAACACGUUUACCGAACAAAUUCCUGUAUCAAGUCAUCAAAACAAUUUAGAUUAUAAUUACUUUCCAUUACUUUCUCCCAUGAUUACAUACCCAAACAUCAGGCAUCCAAAUGCAAGAUAACUCAACAGUGUUUGUUAUUACAUGUACUGUAUCUGCAUGUGCAAAGAGCUACAUUGUUAUUUUUAUUACUGAUAUUUUACACCAAUUUCCCAGGAAGUGGAAAUUUUGUUCCCCUGAACACACGAGAUAGAAACAAUGUUUUAUUGGCACUAUUUAUGCAAUUUUUCCCACAAGUUCACAACUUUGCAUGGAAGCAUUGCCUUUGGAAACACUGAGAGAUGUCUGAGAUCAUUCUAUCUCCCGAGCGUCCCGUUCUCAUCUGGGUGAUCGGUUGUUUUGUCUGUGAUCUUCAUUCGUUGCAUUUUGAAGUCAGCAUGACAAAUUCAGCGCUAGCUCCAUGCUCACUGUCCUUGACACACUUUUGCAAGGUGGACACAGUGACCAGCUCCCCAAGGACAGUAAAGCCCAGAGCCUCGACCGCAUCCAUCUUUGCGGCCCGCCGCUCCACACUCCCCUUCAAACGCCGUGGGCUCCUCUCCUGAUAAUUCCCCAUCCGCCUUUGAUUAAUGCCUGUUUACUUCAGCAGGUCAAACCAUUUCAGUUUGAGGAGGGGAGAAAUUAUGUGAAAGAAAAGUGCAAUUACUCAGGGCUUCAACCUGCCAGCUUCAGGUUAAAGGACGAAGACUCACGGAAGCCGGUGGAGAAAUUUCAGCUAAUAAGAGAAGCUCAAGAUUUCUUUGAGCAUCUCUAGAGGACACUUCUUGCCCUUCCUCUGAACAGGAGGUCGUUGUGUUUGUAGGCAGGUGAGCAGAAGUGUCUCCAGCAGUGUUUGUGGGUGUUUGUUUGUUAUUUGGAGGAGUGAGCGUUGCACGAGGCUUCGGUGCCAGUGUUUUUGGUCAUGCACGAAUGCAUGCAUGCAGGUGGGCGUCAGUUAUGAAGAAAUAAACAAAAAGCUUUCAUGUUCUUAAAAAGGUCACAGAGACUCUUUGAUAUUGACUCACGCUGCUUUUCACCGAGCGAGGGGUGAUGAGAGGGUCUCUCGUGCUCUCCAGCCGUUCCUGGGAACGUUCUGCCAUUUCUGCACAUUAUUCUCACAUGCUGAUGGUUAUAACGCACAUGUGGCACUCGGCACACUUCUGCGUGUGGGAGUGCAUGAUGCUCUAUGAAGACGCAGGGCUCAUUAGUCGCCGGAGGUAAACACAAGCACAAAGACACUGGCUGAAGGUAAUGAUCUGUUUGCUCUUCAUCAAUCCCAAAGGCACACAAAGCAGCACUGUAAGCCCUAUUUACUGCUGUUUGCUAACAAACUACUCACCCUGAGUACUAAACUUUGGCUCGUCACUCGUCUGUGAGACUGGCAGAGAUGAAAAAAUAAUAUAUUAGCAACGGCAUAUGUCAGCAAUGUUAUGAAAGCUACUCUCUCAUUCAGAAAAUGCAAAAAUUGGAGGAAAAAUAUAAAUAUGAAGGUUAAAAUGAGUUCUC
ensembl:lncRNA